GAUGAACGCUGGCGGCGUGCUUAACACAUGCAAGUCGAACGAUGAAGCCCAGCUUGCUGGGUGGAUUAGUGGCGAACGGGUGAGUAACACGUGAGCAACCUGCCCCUGACUCUGGGAUAAGCGCUGGAAACGGCGUCUAAUACUGGAUAUGUCCCGUCACCGCAUGGUGUGCGGGUGGAAAGAUUUUUCGGUUGGGGAUGGGCUCGCGGCCUAUCAGCUUGUUGGUGAGGUAAUGGCUCACCAAGGCGUGCACGGGUAGCCGGCGUGGGAGGGUGACCGGCACGACAGGGACUGAGCUUCGGCCCCGAGUCCUCCGGGAGGCAUCAGUGGGGAAUAUUGCACAAUUGGCGAAAGCCUGAUCCAGCAACGCCGCGUGAGGGAUGACGGCCUUCGGGUUGUAAACCUCUUUUAGCAGGGAAGAAGCGAAAGUGACGGUACCUGCAGAAAAAGCACCGGCUAACUACGUUCCAGCCGCCGCAGUAACAC
rnacentral:rRNA from 1 species